rnacentral:rRNA from 1 species
UACGUAGGGUGCGAGCGUUGUCCGGAAUUAUUGGGCGUAAAGAGCUCGUAGGCGGUUUGUCGCGUCGGCCGUGAAAACUUGGGGCUUAACCCCAAGCUUGCGGUCGAUACGGGCAGGCUAGAGUUCGGUAGGGGAGACUGGAAUUCCUGGUGUAGGCGGUGAAAUGCGCAGAUAUCAGGAGGAACGCCGGAGGCGAAAGCGCGCGACUGGCAUGUCCCUGACGCUGAGGUGCGAAAGCCGGGGGAGCAAACAGG